rnacentral:lncRNA from 1 species
AAGACGACAGCUUCAGCAAACCCAACACCGCAAAAGCAGAACCACCAAACGGAGCUUCAUCAGUUUCGAGUCACUUUAUCUCUUAGCACUGACCAACCAUCCAUGCACUAUUCCGAAACCCUAGUUACAGAACGGAAUCCUGAUUCUGAUUUCGCCACCCUAGCUCAAAAUCCCAACCAAGAAAUAAGAAUCCAACAGAAUGAAAUCAAAUUGAAACAAUGCAUGGCCAGCUAAG